UACGUAGGGUGCAAGCGUUGUCCGGAAUUAUUGGGCGUAAAGAGCUCGUAGGCGGUCUGUCGCGUCUGCUGUGAAAAUCCAGGGCUCAACCCUGGACCUGCAGUGGGUACGGGCAGACUAGAGUGCGGUAGGGGAGAUCGGAAUUCCUGGUGUAGCGGUGAAAUGCGCAGAUAUCAGGAGGAACACCGGUGGCGAAGGCAGCUCGCUGGGACGGUACUGACGCUGGAGACGCGAAAGCGUGGGGAGCAAACAGG
rnacentral:rRNA from 1 species